UAGCAAACUCUGCUUAGGAUUGAUG
rnacentral:piRNA from 1 species